UAAACGUUGGCGGUGUGCUUUAUGCAUGCAAGUCGUACGGGAUUAUAGUUUUCGAAUUAUAAUCUAGUGGCGAAUGGCUGAGUAAUACAUAGGUAACCUGCCUGUGAGUGGUGGAUAACUUGCUGAAAAGCAAGCUAAUACAGCAUGUGAUAAGCAAGUAUUUCUUGUUUAUUAAAGUCUUCGGGCGCUCGCAGAGGGGCCUAUGCCUGAUUAGCUAGUUGGUGAGGUAACGGCUCACCAAGGCGAUGAUCAGUAGCUGGUCUGAGAGGAUGGUCAGCCAGAUGGGGACUGAGAUACGGCCCCAACUCCUACGGGAGGCAGCAGCAAGGAAUAUUGGGCAAUGGGCGAAAGCCUGACCCAGCGACACCGCGUGAGGGAUUAAGGCCUUCGGGUUGUAAACCUCUUUUCUCGAGGAAGAAGUUCUGACGGUACUCGAGGAAUAAGCCACGGCUAACUAC
rnacentral:rRNA from 1 species